UACGUAGGGGGCUAGCGUUGUCCGGAUUUAUUGGGCGUAAAGAGCGUGUAGGCGGCCAUGUAGGUCCGGUGUGAAAACUCGAGGCUUAACCUCGAGAUGUCAUCGGAAACCAUUUGGCUAGAGUCCGGAAGAGGAGAGUGGAAUUCCUGGUGUAGCGGUGAAAUGCGCAGAUAUCAGGAAGAACACCAAUGGCGAAAGCAGCUCUCUGGGACGGUACUGACGCUGAGACGCGAAAGCGUGGGGAGCGAACGGG
rnacentral:rRNA from 1 species